rnacentral:misc_RNA from 1 species
GUGAAUCAUCAAAUUUUUGAACGCAAAUUGCGCUUCCUGGCAUCCCGGGACGUAUGCCUGUUUGAGGGUCAGUAUUAACUAAGAAGCGGUUUGGUUGCAAAUUGUCACGUUUCCGGAGUUUGUGCUAUCUUAACUUUUUGCUUAAGAGGCUUAAAACUGACCUUUUUUGCGCAUUUUUAGAGGUACAUAAAUUUUUUUUUAUUCGUCUAUUCUUAAUGCCCAAAUCUUAUUAGAUGCGAUCACAUCGUGUGCCUUCGUGUCCAUCAAAUUUUCAUGCUUUGAUCUCACAUCAGGUAGGCGU